AGGUGAUAGGCCGGGUGUGUAAGCGCAGCGAUGCGUUGAGCUAACCGGUACUAAUGAACCGUGAGGCUUAACCUUACAACGCCAAAG
rnacentral:rRNA from 1 species